AUUGAACGCUGGCGGCAUGCCUUACACAUGCAAGUCGAACGGCAGCACGGUUGCUUGCACCUGGUGGCGAGUGGCGAACGGGUGAGUAAUACAUCGGAACAUGUCCUGUAGUGGGGGAGAGCCCGGCGAAAGCCGGAUUAAUACCGCAUACGAUCUACGGAUGAAAGCGGGGGACCGUCGGGCUUCGCGCUAUAGGGUUGGCCGAUGGCUGAUUAGCUAGUUGGCGGGGUAAAGGCCUACCAAGGCGACGAUCAGUAGCUGGUCUGAGAGGACGACCAGCCACACUGGGACUGAGACACGGCCCAGACUCCUACGGGAGGCAGCAGUGGGGAAUUUUGGACAAUGGGCGAAAGCCUGAUCCAGCCAUGCCGCGUGUGUGAAGAAGGCCUUCGGGUUGUAAAGCACUUUUGUCCGGAAAGAAAACCUUGGCCCUAAUACGGUCGGGGGAUGACGGUACCGGAAGAAUAAGCACCGGCUAACUACGUG
rnacentral:rRNA from 1 species